UACGGGGGGAGCAAGCGUUGUUCGGAUUUACUGGGCGUAAAGGGCGCGUAGGCGGUCGUGACAAGUCACUUGUGAAAUCUCCGGGCUUAACUCGGAACGGUCAAGUGAUACUGUCGGACUAGAGUACAGAAGGGGCAACUGGAAUUCUCGGUGUAGCGGUGAAAUGCGCAGAUAUCAGGAGGAACACCAAUGGCGAAGGCAGCUCGCUGGGACGUGACUGACGCUGAGACGCGAAAGCGUGGGGAGCGAACAGG
rnacentral:rRNA from 1 species